UAGGGAAUUUUGGACAAUGGGCGAAAGCUUGAUCCAGCAAUGCCGCGUGUGUGAAGAAGGCCUUCGGGUUGUAAAGCACUUUUGUCCGGAAAGAAAUCCUUGGCUCUAAUACAGUCGGGGGAUGACGGUACCGGAAGAAUAAGCACCGGCUAACUACGUGCCAGCAGCCGCGGUAAUACGUAGGGUGCAAGCGUUAAUCGGAAUUACUGGGCGUAAAGCGUGCGCAGGCGGUUUGCUAAGACCGAUGUGAAAUCCCCGGGCUCAACCUGGGAACUGCAUUGGUGACUGGCAGGCUAGAGUAUGGCAGAGGGGGGUAGAAUUCCACGUGUAGCAGUGAAAUGCGUAGAGAUGUGGAGGAAUACCGAUGGCGAAGGCAGCCCCCUGGGCCAAUACUGACGCUCAUGCACGAAAGCGUGGGGAGCAAACAGGAUUAGAUACCCUGGUAGUCCACGCCCUAAACGAUGUCAACUAGUUGUUGGGGAUUCAUUUCCUUAGUAACGUAGCUAACGCGUGAAGUUGACCGCCUGGGGAGUACGGUCGCAAGAUUAAAACUUAAAGGAAUUGACGGGGUCAUAGCUG
rnacentral:rRNA from 1 species